rnacentral:rRNA from 1 species
GACGAACCGUGCGAACGUUGUUCGGAUUCACUGGGCUUAAAGGGCGCGUAGGCGGUCGACCAAGUCUGGGGUGAAAUCUUUCGGCUUAACCGGAAAAGUGCCCCCGAUACUGGCCGGCUAGAGGGAGAUAGGGGCAUGUGGAACUUCCGGUGGAGCGGUGAAAUGCGUAGAUAUCGGAAGGAACGCCGGUGGCGAAAGCGACGUGCUGGAUCUCUUCUGACGCUGAGGCGCGAAAGCCCAGGGGAGCAAACGGG